rnacentral:lncRNA from 1 species
GUCGUGGCUAAGCUACCCUUGGGCGUAUUUUCUUUCUAAUAGGGGUUUAGGGGGUUGAACUUGCUGAGACGUUGUCUCAGUGGUUAUUGAAUAACCAUUUCAGGUCCCUGGUGGACGGAGCGGCCAAAUAGCUUUGGUUGGCCAUGAGGAGAUGCAGAGGUGAAGUCAUAAGAUUGGAGAACGUGUCCGACUUGUAGGUCGUAGGGCAAUUCAUUUUUAAGAGUCGGUCUUUUGUAGACUCUUGGCUGUAGGCCUUCGUCUGUAACUCUGUUGGUUUGUGUAAGUGAUUGGUUGUGAAAUUGUUUCCUGCUUUUCUAUCCCGUAUUUUAUUGUCAGGGGUUUUAUAGUACGUUCCGCUUGCGCAAUAAUAAAUGAAUGGGGUCGGCGACACUACCUGGGAAUGUCGCAUUUGAAUGACCAUGGUGGGAUGUUGACG